CUGAUGCGUGUCUCCACAUGGGAAAAGCAAAAUGGAAAAAUGACAAAUAUACAGCCGCCUAUAUCCCCGCGAUGCAGCAUAACCUGCCUUGUUUUACUUUGGCCGGCAUAAUUAUUAAUCGGGAAAAUGCCAUUGGGAUCGCUGCCGCGUUGGCUAGUACCAUGAUAGUUUUUUCCGAGCUCUCCAGUUCUAGCAAACCGAAAAGAGCCCCAAAAACCUGCAACUGCACGCAGUUGUAGCCCACUUGAGUGCUAAAAGGAGAUGGCGUAAUUAACUUCAACUCAGAUGCGGGGAAGAGAAUUUGCAUGGGCGUUUGUAACGGACCAUCAAACAGCAAGAAAAAUUCUAUCUACCUCUUUUUCUAUUGUAUGUCCCUGCUUCGCAAAAUGUGUGCUUGUUCAUGGUGAAACUUUAUAUUAUGUGACAGAUUGCAGCCGCCAUGGCAGAUACGCCAUUUACAUGUAAUUAAGACAUGCUAA